rnacentral:lncRNA from 13 species
CGGUAGCUGCUGCGUGACAACCUGGUAGCGAGGAAUUGUGUCUGUGUAUUGUCACAAUACUCUGACAAUUUUACCAGGCAAACGUUUGACAAUCUUACUGGUGUGUCUGAGCUUUAGCUAUUUUUAACUGCUGUUUAUAACUAUUUUCGUCCAAAAAUCCUGUUCAGAAUGUAAUCCUGGAUAUGAACAUAAAGUAAUUGUUUAUGUUUAUGUAAUUGUUCAUGCAUUGUUCAUGCAUGCACUGUAAAAAAUAUAAAUAAAAUAUAGUUUCAACUAAUUAUUAUUAAGUAACUGGUUCCACANNNNNNNNNNUGAAAGGCCAUCAAAUGUGUUUAAUGCUUAUUCUCACAAUAUAUUUUUGUGGUCUUGGGUCCGACUCUCUCUAACAACGUUAGCCUAUAUGAUCACAUAUAGUGUAACAAUCUGUAGUACAAGUGUUGCAUGUGUAGUUGAUCGUGUCUCUUGUCGUCUGCAGAUGUACGUGGAGUGUACAGUGUAUCUCUGUGUCACCACGAGGCCCUCUCAGAAGUGCCCUGAUCAGUGUGACAGGGCCAGCAGCAACCAGGUAAUGGUUGACAACGUGCUGACCAGGAGCUACACCGUCCGCUCCGGCCCUGUUAGCCUCGUACCCACCACCGCUGCACUGGCAACUACCACUGUGGUCCCAGCAACCACCCCCACUGGUACCAUUAGUGCAACAGCAGCAACAACUACAACAGCCUCGAAUGCUCCGACUGAGGACUCAAACAUGGCAGUGGGCGUGGUCUUGGCUGUCAUUCAUGUCUUACUUCAAGGCCUGCUUCAUCACUGAAGAGAACAAGGCUUAUAAUUCCAAUGUUGUUCAAUUGUAGCUCUCGUGAAUUACUGCAUACUAAUUUACAUCAUAAGAAGCCAAUGGAAUUAAUGAUAUGACACACUUUUUACAUUGAAUGGGUCGUUUUUCAAGAUAAUUAUUUUGUACAGUAAAACUCCCCAUGGUGGUUUCUACAUUUUCUCUGAGGACAUUGGUAGACUUACAUUGCAUCAAAACUCGAAAUUUGUGCAUGUAAAGCACGAAACACCGAGAAUCUCACUGCUGAAAGGUACUUAUCACAGCGGGUGGCAUUCCUUCUCUUGCUCGAGAAAAAGCGGUAGCUGCUGCGUGACAACCUGGUAGCGAGGAAUUGUGUCUGUGUAUUGUCACAAUACUCUGACAAUUUUACCAGGCAAACGUUUGACAAUCUUACUGGUGUGUCUGAGCUUUAGCUAUUUUUAACUGCUGUUUAUAACUAUUUUCGUCCAAAAAUCCUGUUCAGAAUGUAAUCCUGGAUAUGAACAUAAAGUAAUUGUUUAUGUUUAUGUAAUUGUUCAUGCAUUGUUCAUGCAUGCACUGUAAAAAAUAUAAAUAAAAUAUAGUUUCAACUAAUUAUUAUUAAGUAACUGGUUCCACAGCCUUUUUUUGUUUACUCAACUUUUCGGUCAAAGUGUGACCUGAACAACAAAAAAUUACUCAAACUUAACUCCAAUUUGACAAGAAUUCAGUCAAUUUAAAAUGUGUUUUCUCAACUUGUCUCAUAUGUUCAUUCAGCUAUAAAUUAUUAUUUGGGCAACCAUAUUUUACACAUUUUUUGCUGCGUGACAACCUGGUAGCGAGGAACCUACGGCUUCUAGUCAGUGGCCAACAGCUUGAUUUUGAGCCAAUCAGAGGUUCGUCAUUAGUUACCACAGCCACAAAGUCAUGUGAUUUUAAACCUAAACUUAACCACACUGCUAACAUUAUGCCUAACCAUAACCUUAAAUUAAGACCAGAAAGCAAAUAUUUGUUUUCCUUAAUUUUUAUGAUGUAGACAAUUUUGGACUUUGCGGUAACUAGUGGAAACCCAAUCAGAGAGCACCAACCCCCACGUUGGGGAGCCAACAACGGA